rnacentral:rRNA from 1 species
GAAGGUCACACCCGUUCCCAUCCCGAACACGGCAGUUAAGCUUCUCAGCGCCGACGAUACUUAGCUGGUUGCGGCUUGGUAAAAUAGGACUUCGCCAGAU